AUGAACGCUAGCGGCAGGCCUAACACAUGCAAGUCGAACGGUAACAGGGAUUGCUUGCAAUCUGCUGACGAGUGGCGCACGGGUGAGUAACGCGUAUGCAAUCUGCCUUUAACUGAGAGAUAGCCCAGAGAAAUUUGGAUUAAUACCUCAUAAUAUUGUGAUUUGGCAUCACUUCACAAUUAAAGCUUCGGCGGUUUAAAGAUGAGCAUGCGUCCUAUUAGCUUGUUGGUAAGGUAACGGCUUACCAAGGCAACGAUAGGUAGGGGCCUGAAAGGGUGAUCCCCCACACUGGUACUGAGACACGGACCAGACUCCUACGGGAGGCAGCAGUGAGGAAUAUUGCGCAAUGGAGGAAACUCUGACGCAGCCAUGCCGCGUGCAGGAAGACGGCCCUACGGGUUGUAAACUGCUUUUAUAUAGGAAGAAACACCGAUACGUGUAUCGGCUUGACGGUACUAUAUGAAUAAGGACCGGCUAACUCCGUG
rnacentral:rRNA from 1 species